AUUUCUUUCUCUCUCUCUUUUUUUUUAUUAGUAUUUUUAUUUUCUCAAACUGAUGCACAUGGUUUUGUUUUUGUUGCUUUCAUUCUCGUAUUCCAUUCUGCACUGAACUGAAGUCAACGACCUGAAAUGAGUUAACUACGACAAACACGUAUAAAGGGGAUGUCUGGUGGAGUCUGAUGUCGUAAAUUACAGAGGAAGCUUCUGCAAUUUCCUGCUGAUCAACCGAGUGUUGAUGAAGGUGAUCAACUCCGGUUCAGAAAAUUCAGUCAUCCAGAAAAGACUUUGGAAACAAAGGUUGCGGAAAAAGAUCAGUUUUGUGCCUGGAAUUUUGAUGGGUCCUUAGUGACCCCAGAAUGAUGAAAGGGGGCACACGACCAGAUAUUUUGGAGGAAGGCUCGGUCGGUUAAACUGACCCACAUACUUGGCUAGUACUUUAUCAAACCCAGCAACAGGAUUUGAACUCGGAACAUAAAGAGCCUUAAGUGAGUACCACAAAUACGUUCUGUCUGAUGCUCUACUGAUUUCUACCAAUCUGCUCCUCCUUCCUCCAGUAUUUUACCAAUUUAAGUGGAAUGUUUGUGGCAUGGUUUGAAAGGAGCUGACCCCUUGUUUGCCUUUAGCAAGGCACACUCUAUUGCAGGCCUUCAGGCCAAAAAGGGGUCAUGGACACUGCCCUUCGUCCUCUAUGCCCUUGAAGGAAAAAAAAAAAAAAAAGAUUAGGAAUAAAGCUCGAUGCAUUCUAUGGAUUUACUGAGAGCUUACACGAAGAUAGAGAUUAUUAAAAAUAAUGAAAUUGUAAUGUUUUUGGAGGGUGAAAUCCCUUUAGGAAUAAUAGCAGAUUGAUACGACUCUACCUGGGAAAUGAAAUAAAGGUAGACAGCCACAAUUGACCAAUACCAUAUUGCCAAUCACCUUCCUAAUAGCAAUUUUUGUACAAAGACUUAAGGCCAUAAAUUUGGGGGCAAGGUACAAUUACAUUGACCCUUAUACUUGAUUGCUACUUCAUUUUAUCAACCCUGGAAAGGUAAAAGGCAAAGUGAACUUUGAUGGGAUUUGAACUCAGAUUAUAAAGGGUCCAAACCAAAUGCCAGAAGGCAUUUGGUUCUAACAAUUUGGUCAACCCACUGCCAUUAGUUUCUAAUUCAGGGAGUUAGGGUUAGAAAUGGGGAGGGGGUAGUUGAAUCGAUGUUUGUACUUGAAUGGUACUCUAAUUAAUUGACCCCUAAGGGUAGAAAUCAAAGUUGACAUUGGUAGAGUUGGAAUGCAGAACCUGAAGAAUGGAACAAAUACUGCAAGGCAUUUUGUUCAAUGGUCAAAUGGUUCAAGGCCAAAAAUCUGGGGGAGGGGGAUUAAUCUCAGUACUUGUCUGGGACUUUAUUUUAUUGACCCUUGAAAGGAUGAAGGUCAAGGUUGACCUCAGAAUUUAAAGAAAUGCUAUUUAAGCAUUUUGCCUGGGGUGGCGGGAGGGCACUAUUGAUUCAGCCAGAUUGGCGCUUUGAUAAAGGUUUCAAAUUUUGGCACAAGGCCAGCAAUUUUGGUGUGGGUGGGGGUGGAUGUUAGUUGAUUACAUCGACCCUGGUACUUGACUGGUGCUUUAUUUUAUCAGCCCCAAGAGGAUGACUGGUCAAGUUGACUUUGGCUGUGCUUGAACUCAGAAUGUGAAGGGUUCCAGCCAACAAUUCUGCCAACUUGCCACAUUGAUAAUAAUGUAUUUAAUUUUUUGCUUUGUUCAGGAGCCCCUAAAAAUGUUAAUGUCAUGGAUAGAUUGGAACGAUAAGUUGCUAUUAAUGAUGGCACUGAAUGUUUGGUGGCAAGGUCAAAGGUCACAGAAAUUUAGGCAACCUGGUGUCAAUAUCACAAAUACUUUUUAGUGGGUGGGGAGAAUCGCUGUCAGAGAAUCAGAAACUCUGGCAAUCACAGCUGUGAGUCCCUGCUGGAGGACUCUCACCACACACACACACACACACACAUAAGAGGUGGUCAGUAUUGGACUAAUACACACACACACACACAUACACUUGGAGAGUGAAGAAUGAAAACUGAAGAAAAUACACAUUAAAAACAUCAACAGAAGAAAAAAUAGAAAAAAAAAAUUUUAAAAGUGAUCCCUUCUCCAAGAGUUAGGCUGACCCCUAUCUCUUUGAUAAUUGUACACCUCCACAGUUGUACUCCAUUCACCACAUAGUACAGUUUAAAUAAGAAAAAGGCAAAAAAAAAAAGCCAAAAAAAGCAAAAAAAAAAAAGCGUAAAUGUGAUAGAGUCAUGGGAGUCCUCAGAAGGCACAGGCACUUGUAUUGACUUUGAAUCAAUGAGUUAUUUUUAUAUGAUUAGGUUAUCAAGGCUUAUGUUGUACAUCUAUGACUUAGUUCAGUGGAGCAGAGUGUUGAUGACCAGGUCCAGUGGAAUGGAGAAUUGGUGAUGAGGUCCAGCAGAAUAGAUUCUCAGUGUGGCUGUCACGGAUGGACAGCUUGGUCUUUCGGAACAGAGUAUUAAAGAACUAAAUGGCAGAUGUAUAAUUCGGUCCAGCAGAUUAAGGUAUCAGCAAUUAAGCCAUAGACAUAUAACUGGGCCUUGGUGAUCAAGUGGCAGAUGUUCUUGCUGACCAGAAUAUCAAUGAUCAGGUUAUAGGAUACAUGGUCAAAUGGUUAAGAAUGUCAGUGACCAAGUUACACAACUUGUUCCAGCACAAGAUAAAUACCAGUAAGCAGGUAGAUGGACACCAAAGAUUGAUACUACUUCAAAAUAAUAAUGAACAAUGGUACCUGUGUGUUUUGAAUGACUAACAUGACUCUAACCCAAUGUAACUGGUUCAGUUUCAACUAUUUUCAGAUGAAAUGACCUGUCAAACAAAUAAACCCCUGGAAUAUAUUGUAUAAAAUAAAUAUGAAGUUAUGAAGUUAAAUAAUGGAAUAUAAAAGAAAACAACAACAACAGCAAGAUAUUGUGAAUACAUAGAAAGCUUUUUGAAAGAAAAAUAACUUUUUACAACAGUUUUUUUUUGGUUCUCUUCUUGACAGUUGCAGUUAAGUAGAGUGGAGUGACUUAACCAAGGAUACAAAACAAUUGUUGCAGUAGUACGUGACCACACACACACACACUAAUAACCUUUUAUACAGAGUCCCACAAAGAUUACGAUGGGAUUCACACUGCUACCGACAAGUGGAGAAGUACAGCAGCAACUGUUGGAUUCAGGCUAAGUCCACCUUGCCCUCCUUUUCAGUGACCACCUCCAGAAUAUACAGGUGUUACAGAAACAGACUGGACAGUAUAUGAGAGUGGAAAGAGUAUCACACUGCAUCCCAUACAAUAAAACCACUGGUUGCUGGAAUCUGCAGAAUUGUCUUCAUCUCUGGCAUUGGCAGCUCCUUAGAAUCUGCAGGCCUGUAUGGAGUUUUUCAACUGACAGCCCUUGUGCCCAGAGCUCAUUCGGAGCUGACUUGGGAGUUCCAUAAACAACUUGUUACAGACACAAAACCUCAGAUUAAAUAGCAGAGACAAGUAUGAGGAUGUGUGAUGUUCAUGCUUCUACCAAAGUGGCAAUGGUGGUGAAAGCAAAAUGAUUAUAAUUUGGAACUGAAAUCAAUUAGAAUGUUUCGCUUAACGAGGGGUUGAUCUCAACUCUCUGCUCUGACCCCCAUCGUAUUUGUCUCCCUUCCAGGAACAAAGUCAGCAAUUUCAAAGGGAUCGGUGGGGUCAGUCGAUGAUCAAAUACUUAACUGGCACUUCAUUUUUAUUGACCCCACCAAAAAGAUGAAAGGCAAAGUUGACCUCUGUGGGAUUUGAACUCACAAUGUAAACAAGCGGAACAAAUACCAUGAGAAACUUUUUCUGAUGUUGCUCUUUAUAGAUUCUUCUGCCAGCUCACUUCCUUAACAAUAACACCUCCUGAUUGAGGCCCAAGGCCAGCAAUUUUGGGGUGGGUGGGGGUUAGUUGAUUACACUGAUCUCUAAAGGACAAAAGGCAAAACUGACCUCACUAGCAUUUGAACUCAGAACAUCAUGGACUGAAAGAAAUGCUGCUAAGCAUUCAUCGGACACAAUGAUGCUGCCUGCUUAAUAAUAAUAAUGAUCCUUUCUACUACAGGCACAAGGCUUGAAAUGUUGGGGGGAAGUGGGGCAGUCGAUUACAUUGACCCCCAGUACAUGACUGGUUCUCAUUUUACCAAUGUUGAAAGGAUGAACGGCAGAGUCAGCCUCGGCAGAAUUUGAACUCACGACGAGUCACAAGAAGUGUUGCUAAGCAUUUUGCCCGAUACGCCAAUGGUUCUGCCUGCUUCUCACAAUAAUAAUCAAUAAUAUUCAAUAAUACUGGUUUCUGAUAAUUAAAAAAAAAAUGAAGAGAACAGCUGGAAGCUGGGAGGUGUUCUCUUGAAAUUUACCUCAGCCAACCAACUGCUAGAACCACAACAACAACAACAACAAAAUCAAAUAAGUGGUGGGCAGUGGUGGAGAUGGUGAAAGAGUCUAGUGUUAAGGGCACUGUCCAUCUUCAGCGUUAUAUUGAAGGAGGGCCUUUCUACCACAUAGAUUACUCAAGCCCCGCCUUUCCCCUCCCAGGUGCUUUCGCAUUGACCACCUGAGGUCCUCUCCCCACUUUCAUUCUCUCAUUAACCUUCAUCUGAACAUGAUGAUGACGGUAACGAUGAUGGUCAUCCAGUCUGGUUUCAGCCUCUCACCUCAACAACAACAGUAAGAAGGAAAAGAAAAAAAAAAAUAGUAACCCAACAAAGACAUAAAUGAGCAAGUUCAUUACAACAGUUGCUGUGGAGUACUCAAUACUUGGUUACUCUUUAGUUACUCUCGGCCAACUGCUUCAAUGAUGCUUUAUUUUCCUCUCCACCCUGGGGCUUGUUCCUCCAGUGGUUCUUCUGUUGCUGCUGCUGCUGAUGUACUAUUUUUUUAAAAAAUUA